AAACAAAAAAAAAUAAAAAAAAAAGCGACUAAAGAGGAACUUCUAAUGCAAAGUCCAUGUGGUGUAUAUGGAUUUCAAGAAAACACAAAAGGAUGAAGCUGCAGUGUCUACAGUACAUCCAGUAACCAUGACAACCACCUAGACCUACAACCCAGAGUCUAUGAGACAGUUUGUGUAAAAGGCUAUGAUUCAUUAUGAACUUAUCUGUUCUUUUAUGGUACAUAGUUAAAAGUCUAUAAAUAUUAUACAAUCAGAAAUUGGAACUUUUUGUCAAAUUGCGAUGGCUGUUUGUUUUUGUACUUUAAAUUGUAUCUUUUGUAGCAUCACCUGUUCCAUGUUGAGUAUAAUAAGCCAUAUAAACAACAAACAUUUGAUAUAAUGUAUGUUUUGUACAUUAGUAAUUCAUUUUCUGCAUAAUUUUACAAUAUUUUUGGUAAUAAAUUAAUUUAAGCAACAGAACAUCUGUGGAGCCACUUGGGAGCCAAAAGAUUCCCAUCACUACUGCCUUGCCUCUUAGCCUCUAAAAGUAAUUUGUCUUCCUCUUUGGAUUCUUAGCUCUGUGUCUUAGUUCCAUGUGUUUUGUGUUUUCCUUUGUCACCAACAGACAAAGUGUGUUACGGAAAUUAAAUAAGCUUGAGAUGAUACUGCAACAGAUGAAGGUUUCCAUCUUUCUUGGUCAUGUGAUCUACAGUGAGACGCCCCCGCUAAGACUGACAUGGAUCCGCUGUGAUUAAAGUCUGUGUACUCCAUUCACUGAGGCAGGAUUGAAGCCACACUUACUCGCUGGCCCUUUCCCACAACCUCCAGGCACCUUGGAGGAAGUCAUCCAUGCAUAACUGUGCUCCUUAAUCAAAGGCUGAAUGUAGAAGUUGUCCCAGAGGUUGGCUGCUGCAAGUGCGGCAUUAGCAAAGCGCAUGCUCUCCUUUCACCGGCAAACAAAGCUGCCCAUUGUGACGGGCCUCAAGCGUCUAUUUUGAUUCAAAAAAGAGGGAUCUCACGAGCAGACAGACAAUGAUGAGAGACGAGCAGGAGCAACACACAGGAUGCGUUCAGGACUGCACGCCGCUAGCAAAUUAACAAGUCUCGGGUGUCAGCAUCAUCCUCCAGCUAAAAUACACCGCAUGGCUUACUGCGAAAUAACACAGAACAACCACAAGACAAAAACAUCUGAUAUCACAGAAGGUAUGAUCAGCUGCAGAGUUGCUGACAGGUUGAAUUUAUCUAUGUUUUUAAAUGAUCUAGCAGGCUGUCAAAAUAGAAGCUUACUGUGAUAAAUGAAUGAGAUCCCUUUACGCUGAUAACAGCAUUAGACCAGUCAUCAGUAGGAGGAAGCCUCACACACAGGGCAGCCAUGCAGACCGGAUAAAUGUAAGGAAAUGCCAUAAAGUUUCAUUCGGAUGUGAUACCUCUAACAUUUGUUUUUUUCAAAUUCCAAUUUAUUUUUGGAGUCUGUUGGUGAAGAUAAUAUCUUAAACAGAAGUGAGAUCUGCAACCUGAUCCCACCUCCUCUGGCCUCUGCACUGCCUUAUUAAUAGCAGUGACCCAUCUUUAAAUAGGACAUUGUUUUGUCUAUUGUCUUUCUAUCUCCGUGCUGUCCUGAUCACUGAUGCUGAAGCAGGGUAGUAAACAUCCUCUGACCCCUCCAGCCCACCGCUCCCAUUGACAAACUCGUUGUUCUUAAUCCUCAGUUGCAUUACGAAACCCUCGAUGUUUUAAGAAUGUGCAAGAAGAAAGAGGCCAGUAUGCUUUCUGAUUUAAGCACAAGUCUAUCUGUUUUGAGUACAUAAAAAUGAAGGAGGACUUGGACCUAUAAAUGAUUUUUUUCUUCUAGCAUAUCGAAUGACAGUGUGACAGAAGCUGCUCACAGACAUGAACCUAUAGAAAAUACGCGGCUCCUCGUGGCUUUGCAAAACUUUAUAGCCAGUUUCAGUUCAUUGUUGAGGUGGUUUUGCAACAGGCAGCUGUUUCACUUAACAAGCUCAAACUACUCUUUGCCCACUUUUUUUCAGUACCAAAUAGCAGACAGACACAAUUACGCAGUAGCUGGUAAAAAUAGUGAAGCAUUUAUUAGCUGAAGAGUUAGAAAGUUGCUUCAGGAGGUGGAGGAGAUCCAAAAUGGAAUUUGAAAAAAAAAAAGAAAAAUGGAGUUAAAUCCAUCAAGUAGCUAGAGGUGUGGCUCCAAGUAAAUGAAAAUGUUCCUCAAGAACUGUUUGGGAAGUAAAAUGAGAAAUACUUGCCAUCCUGCUUAAAAGACGUUGUUUCUGCAUUUGUGGAAACACAACACUAAUUUCAAACAAAGACCUCAAAAUAUUGCAAUUUUUUCCCUCUUAAUUAGGAAAAGUUAUGGAGGCUCCUUAAAGACACAUUUUAAUCUGAAAAAAAAUAUUGUGAGGUAAAACAAAACUCUCAAUAAAAUGUUUAAAAAAAAAAAAAAAAAGAAAAUCAUUGCCAAAGUUCAGUUAACUCAACGUUAACAAAUAAAUCGUGACAUGAAUAUUGUGACUUACACAGCAGUGAUGCUACUGUAAGGAGAUGCAAGAUGGCAAAUGAUAAAAACAAAAUUCAGAUGUUAUAUUUUCUACUUUUAAAUGCUCCAAUGGAGAAUUGGUGCCACGGACAAUUUAACUGUAAACAAAAUUCCUGAUAUAUAGACGUACGUAUACAGUACAUACAAAAUUGUAGAUUUCUUUUCAGAUUAUUCACAUUAGCUGGAAUUAGGUUAAAAUUUCCAUUAAAUGUGGAUGUAAACUUUACUUUUGCACAUAAAGUGCAGGGCUUUUGUCUUUCUUUAAAAUUGCUUAAAUGUUGAAGGAAAAAGCACCUGCUGUAGGGGCAGUAAAUAAACUUGCCCAGACAUGCUCUCUCUUUUUUAACAUGAUUAGGCUCAGCAUCAGACUGUUUAAGAGGAGUCUUUUACAAGGAUGUGUAGGGGCUUGGAGCUGGGGGUGUGUUGGAGUGGUGGCUCCCCAUUCUUCCCAUUAUCCGGCUUUCCAUUUUCAUUGGAAUGAAGGCCAUCUAUCAGGAGCCCCUAUAGGCCCUUUCAAAGCCGAAUAAAAGGAUCACUGUGGACGGACCUGUCUGUGGGUUGCUCAGACAUGGAAGACAACAGAUGUGUUAAACAUGGGCAGCUCCCUCACAAAAAGCCCGGCGAGUCGGGGCUGCGUGCUCGCUAAUGGAGGGGCAGCUUUAUGUUAAUUGCUGAAUGGAGUCAGUCAAAGCUCCGCGAGCCUUCGCCGAGUACGUUCAAGGAAUCCCACAUCAUAAAGAAGUCCUCACUUCCCUCCACUCUCAGGAGGAAGGAGCUACAAAGAAAAGGCCAUAAAAUUGUUAAAGGGUCUAUAGCCAAGGUGCACUAUUGCAUCCCACAAAAACCCACCCUGUAACUUUACCCGGAUGUAAAGUUACAAUGACACUUUUGUUUCCCAAAGAUCUGGAUCAAUAUGACUUCAAAUCAGAAGCUGGCAAAUUGAUCCCCAAAGAAUUGAUACUCCUGAUAAUGAAGCCCUUCUUUUGUACUGAUGCUAUUUUGAGACAAAAUCAAUACCUCCAAAACUGAUCCACAUUUGUGAAGUUUAACUCGAUAGACUAAUAAAGCUGCCUUGUGUUUUCACAUGAAUGUGAUCAAUUACAUAUAAAAUAGUAAGAAAAUUUGCUAAAUAGUUUUCAAAGUACUCUAUAUUAAAAAUGUGUGGAGUGAAAAAUAUUUAGAUCCUUUACUUAAAUAUAAUUCCUAACUGUGAAAGUACUCUAAAUUCUAUACAUUGUAAGUGAAAGUUCAGAAAUUAUAAUUUCAGUAUUCAAAAGAAUGGCCGAUUCAAGUGUCUCAAUAUAACAUUUUAUUGAUGUUUAGAGCAAAGACAAUGAAAAACGUAGAAUUUUAAUCGAAGAUGAUAAAACAUGAACUGAAUUUAACUGUUUUAGUUCAUUUUAGUUAGAUUAUUUAACCUUUCCCUGAAGAAAUCACCUUGUUUGAAAAACUUUAUAGAAACAAGCAUUAGGCGUUACCACUUUGUAGUCAAUAAAUUGUCAUUUUAGUCGAGAAAACUCAUUAAAGUCAAUGAUAUCUAAUAAAAUACUGACGUUAUUACACUUCAAGGGAAGAUUUUUUUCCAUUUGUUAUGGGAGAAUAAGCUUUUUAGGACUCUCAUACCUUAUUGAGAUGAUGAGUUUUGAAGCAUUUGCAUCAGAUCAAAGUACAUGGUAGGUCAAGAAAUUACUGUAAAUAAGUGUGGUAGAGUAAAAAGUGCAGCAUUUCACCCUGAAAUGUAAUGAAAUACAAAUGUAAAGUAUAGAAAAUUAUAAUUUCUCUUAAUAUCUUUGAUUCCACCACUGAUAUUAGGCAUUAGAUAUCAAAUUCAAUGUUUUCUGAAAUGACUUUAUUUUGACUUUGAGCUUCUUGGUUGGAGAUAACAAUAGAAAACAUGGCUUCUAGUAGCUGCUGUUGUUUCCCUGCUGGGGCCACGCUCGCCUCCUGUAUUCCUGUGGGAAUCAAGAUAAUGCCGAGAGAUCGCAUCAUUGCGUCGCAGCAUUAAUGAUUUAUUGGAUUUAUUAACUGUACUUUUAAUAUAUUUAAACGUCCUUACAGACAUUGCAACAAGCAGUGAAACUUAUAUCAGAAAAUAUAUGAAAUAUCAGCCACUUUCUGCUAUGUUCAGAGGGGUUAAACUCAACUUCUGCACCCCAGUAUCCUUUUGUCACACUGAAGGAGGAGGAGGAGGAGCAAAGGUCCCGGCAUCAAACCCCGGACCCCAAACAAUGGGAGCUUGGCGUGGACAGCCCGAGGCGAAGCCAUCUGCCAUGGAGAGAGUGGAGUCUCUUUGUCAGCUAUUGUGGAAUGUGGAAGCAGAUUGAUGUGGGCCGGGUGAUUCCUUUAGGGCCCGACGGGGCAGCAGGCAGCGCAGAGACACCACCGGGAACUCCCUCUCCUUCUGUCUCCACAUUCAGCAGUCACAUGCUGCAGCAGCCAGACGCUCCAACCUGGGAUAAUGAAGAGGGAAAGUGUUUGGAGAGGCUGAUGUCAUGUGUUAGAAAAUCGGGCCACUUGUGUUCUCAACAGGCACUCCAAUAAAAUAAAAGCUUUAUUUUAAUCCUUGUUAUUGAUAGCCUGAAGCAGAACAGGAGGAAUUUUCCUCUUCGUGCCGCAAAGUGUAAAAAUGAUCAUUUUCUCCGCUGUUGCAUAAGAAGUGGAUGCAGGCUGGAGCUAUGCGUGUCAUUGUAGUGUGUCCCUGCUUGGACGAUGACCUCUGACCCUCCCAGCAGGUGUCUGUGGUCGCCCUCUAUUGAGAAAAGCCAGUCCAGAAGCUCUUUGGCUCUUUGGAGUGGGUGGGUCAGCGAGGCAAACAGGGCAGAUGUGUGUGAAAUCCCCCAGGGAAAGUGUGCCGCCACCGAGGGAAGGGGUCAGGGCAAAAAGGGUGGAUCUGCGACACAACCAACACAACAGAAAACCAUGGUUUCCAUGGCAGCCUGCUGCAUCACUAAGCCGUCUGUUCUCAGGGACAUAAAAUAGCACUUCAGGCUCCAGGAUCUGUGACAAAACAAGCCUUUAUUUUGCUUCUGGUGGCCGAUCAACAACAGAAUCAGAGAUGAGAUGAGAUUUAGCUUGGAGUGCUUUUCCAGAGACAAAAAUUUGACUUGAAUUCAUUUACAUUCCAAAUCCAAACACACUACUGCUUGAAUUGGUGGAAUUCAUCUGCAAAAUCAGCUUAAACUAUCAAAUUUAAAGGGAAUGAAAAACAGAAAGCAGCUCCUGUUGGUGUUGUAUUUGUGUAUUUAGCAUUUUUUUUUACAUGUUUUAUUAUCAUUAUAUUGUAUUUUUUAGAGCAAACUCAUUUUCUCUGAUCUCUUUUUCUGCAGCCCAGACAAACACAAACCUAAAUCCUGACUAAUAAACAGUCCCUAUAAUAAGAAACUUUAAUGUCUGGGGACGGAUUGAGUUGCGGAGCUUCAAAGCCACAGGGUGCAACCGAAAAAAGAUGGAGAUAAAAAAGCACAGCCUGCUGUCCUGACUGUUUACUGUGGCUGGACUCUGAGUCAUUUCCUUUGAGGUGACGGUUGUAGAGGAAUGCGACUUUAUGCUGAUGUCUUUGAUCAAACCCUGGGCUUCAUCAGGUUAUCUCAGUGUGCACUAAGUGGGCCAUAAAACUAGUCAUCUGACUGAAAGAAACCCUACUGAUGAGCUGACCACAUCCUUAUUGCAGCUAUAGGGAGAUUUUUAUUUAUCAUACCGUAGCUGAAAUCAUCAUCAAGUCAUUACUUUAGUAGCAACAUGUGACUACUAAGCUUGUUAAAGGCAUAACCUUGAGCAUCAGUAGCCAUAAAGAGCAUGUGGUAGAUCUUAAAACUGUGAUGAAAUAGAACUUUGUUCCUCUUAAAGGCUGCACAAAGGAAGUGCCAGCUUCAGAAAUAAAGGAAGAAGAGGAGAUUACAAAAUGUUCAGUAGAGGCAUUUUAAGAUGAGUUUGCAAGAAGAAGCAUUGCCUCCAUUUUUUUUUUACAUUUUUUUCUUGCAUGACCUUGUCAGUAAAACACCAUUGUUCUGAAGGUCUCUGUCUUCCUACAAAGGGCCUUUUCUGCUACAAUGCUCGUGGGCCAAAUGCUGGCCUCUGAUAGAAGAGCUGUCAGUCAUGUGACGCAUGACAUUUGUAUAACAUUACCGGGGUCACAGCCCACGGUUAAGAUGAUGGGAGUGGAUGAAAAAAAGUGGGUCAGGACUCUGGACAAAUCUUGAACUUCGGUCAGCAUGAAGAAAGCACAGGUCAGAGUAUGCUUAGAUACGCAUCUUCAGUCAGUGCUUGGCUCCAGUGUUUGAAAAGUGUCUCUUGGUCAUCGCUCUGUGGAGCUAUUGUUGAAGAAACUGAAGGAACAGGCUCUGAGGACAAAGAGCUUCAUAUCGUAUCAGGAUAAUCCAUCAAAGGAUCCAAAGGCCAACGAGCAUGCUCCAACAAAUUCAUUAAAAACAAUCUUUUUAUGCCAUGAAAGUGCUCAACGAGCGACUUUGAUCCGUGGUUACUCAAAUUGAAGAGGACAGCGGUGGUUUAAAAAAUACAUUAAAGCUAGUUCUAUGUUCUUUUUUGA